rnacentral:rRNA from 1 species
AACGAACGCUGGCGGCAGGCCUAACACAUGCAAGUCGAGCGGACCCUUCGGGGUUAGCGGCGGACGGGUGAGUAACGCGUGGGAAUAUGCCCUUCUCUACGGAAUAGUCCUGGGAAACUGGGGGUAAUACCGUAUACGCCCUUUGGGGGAAAGAUUUAUCGGGGAAGGAUUAGCCCGCGUUGGAUUAGGUAGUUGGUGGGGUAAUGGCCUACCAAGCCGACGAUCCAUAGCUGGUUUGAGAGGAUGAUCAGCCACACUGGGACUGAGACACGGCCCAGACUCCUACGGGAGGCAGCAGUGGGGAAUCUUAGACAAUGGGGGCAACCCUGAUCUAGCCAUGCCGCGUGAGUGAUGAA